CCCAAGGCCACACCUCCUGAUCCUUCCCAAAUGGGUCCACCAACUGGAGAGCAGUAUGCUGUUAUUUGGUCCCUGUAUUACUGUGACACGGGUGACAUGGGUGACAGAUGAGGUCCUGAGCCAGUGGAUGCAAAAAGACCACAGGGGACAAGGAUGUCUGGCCUCCUUGGAUGUAAGCGUCUACCUGGAACCGAGUAAAUACUCCAUAGAUAACUUCAGAGUGCGACGCCGUGGGAUUCCAGCUGAAUCAUGAUCGGAAUGACUCCGCAAUGACGGGCGCUCACACUUCACAUCUCAGCCAGCGCAAGACUCUGCCUUCCUCAUUCCCUGUUCCUCUGGUGGGACUGGGGGGCAGGGAGAGGCAGAGGGGUUGUUAUAAUCAUUUUAUAAAACAUGCAGGUGGUCUCUCAAUCUUGAGAGUGCCGUGGGCCUGUUAGGUCUGGUGGCACGUACCUGUAACCCCAGCCCUUUGGUAUUACAAUUCAGAUCACAGGAGGCAGGAGGAUCACAAGUUCGAGGGAGCCCUGAACUAUACACAGUUGAGUCAG
rnacentral:sRNA from 1 species